GAUUAAGUUAUUAAGGGCGCACGGUGGAUGCCUUGGCACUAGAAGCCGAUGAAGGACGUUACUAACGACGAUAUGCUUUGGGGAGCUGUAAGUAAGCUUUGAUCCAGAGAUUUCCGAAUGGGGAAACCCAGCAUGAGUUAUGUCAUGUUAUCGAUAUGUGAAUACAUAGCAUAUCAGAAGGCACACCCGGAGAACUGAAACAUCUUAGUACCCGGAGGAAGAGAAAGAAAAUUCGAUUCCCUUAGUAGCGGCGAGCGAAACGGGAAGAGCCCAAACCAACAAGCUUGCUUGUUGGGGUUGUAGGACACUCUAUACGGAGUUACAAAGGACGACAUUAGACGAAUCAUCUGGAAAGAUGAAUCAAAGAAGGUAAUAAUCCUGUAGUCGAAAAUGUUGUCUCUCUUGAGUGGAUCCUGAGUACGACGGAGCACGUGAAAUUCCGUCGGAAUCUGGGAGGACCAUCUCCUAAGGCUAAAUACUCUCUAGUGACCGAUAGUGAACCAGUACCGUGAGGGAAAGGUGAAAAGCACCCCGGAAGGGGAGUGAAAUAGAACCUGAAACCGUGUGCUUACAAGUAGUCAGAGCCCGUUAAUGGGUGAUGGCGUGCCUUUUGUAGAAUGAACCGGCGAGUUACGAUUUGAUGCAAGGUUAAGCAGUAAAUGUGGAGCCGUAGCGAAAGCGAGUCUGAAUAGGGCGUUUAGUAUUUGGUCGUAGACCCGAAACCAGGUGAUCUACCCUUGGUCAGGUUGAAGUUCAGGUAACACUGAAUGGAGGACCGAACCGACUUACGUUGAAAAGUGAGCGGAUGAACUGAGGGUAGCGGAGAAAUUCCAAUCGAACCUGGAGAUAGCUGGUUCUCUCCGAAAUAGCUUUAGGGCUAGCCUCAAGUGAUGAUUAUUGGAGGUAGAGCACUGUUUGGACGAGGGGCCCCUCUCGGGUUACCGAAUUCAGACAAACUCCGAAUGCCAAUUAAUUUAACUUGGGAGUCAGAACAUGGGUGAUAAGGUCCGUGUUCGAAAGGGAAACAGCCCAGACCACCAGCUAAGGUCCCAAAAUAUAUGUUAAGUGGAAAAGGAUGUGGCGUUGCCCAGACAACUAGGAUGUUGGCUUAGAAGCAGCCAUCAUUUAAAGAGUGCGUAAUAGCUCACUAGUCGAGUGACACUGCGCCGAAAAUGUACCGGGGCUAAACAUAUUACCGAAGCUGUGGAUUGUCCUUUGGACAAUGGUAGGAGAGCGUUCUAAGGGCGUUGAAGCAUGAUCGUAAGGACAUGUGGAGCGCUUAGAAGUGAGAAUGCCGGUGUGAGUAGCGAAAGACGGGUGAGAAUCCCGUCCACCGAUUGACUAAGGUUUCCAGAGGAAGGCUCGUCCGCUCUGGGUUAGUCGGGUCCUAAGCUGAGGCCGACAGGCGUAGGCGAUGGAUAACAGGUUGAUAUUCCUGUACCACCUAUAAUCGUUUUAAUCGAUGGGGGGACGCAGUAGGAUAGGCGAAGCGUGCGAUUGGAUUGCACGUCUAAGCAGUAAGGCUGAGUAUUAGGCAAAUCCGGUACUCGUUAAGGCUGAGCUGUGAUGGGGAGAAGACAUUGUGUCUUCGAGUCGUUGAUUUCACACUGCCGAGAAAAGCCUCUAGAUAGAAAAUAGGUGCCCGUACCGCAAACCGACACAGGUAGUCAAGAUGAGAAUUCUAAGGUGAGCGAGCGAACUCUCGUUAAGGAACUCGGCAAAAUGACCCCGUAACUUCGGGAGAAGGGGUGCUCUUUAGGGUUAACGCCCAGAAGAGCCGCAGUGAAUAGGCCCAAGCGACUGUUUAUCAAAAACACAGGUCUCUGCUAAACCGUAAGGUGAUGUAUAGGGGCUGACGCCUGCCCGGUGCUGGAAGGUUAAGAGGAGUGGUUAGCUUCUGCGAAGCUACGAAUCGAAGCCCCAGUAAACGGCGGCCGUAACUAUAACGGUCCUAAGGUAGCGAAAUUCCUUGUCGGGUAAGUUCCGACCCGCACGAAAGGCGUAACGAUUUGGGCACUGUCUCAACGAGAGACUCGGUGA
rnacentral:rRNA from 1 species